ACGAACGCUGGCGGCAGGCUUAACACAUGCAAGUCGAGCGCCCCGCAAGGGGAGCGGCAGACGGGUGAGUAACGCGUGGGAAUCUACCCAUCUCUACGGAAUAACGCAUGGAAACGUGUGCUAAUACCGUAUACGCCCUUCGGGGGAAAGAUUUAUCGGAGAUGGAUGAGCCCGCGUUGGAUUAGCUAGUUGGUGGGGUAAAGGCCUACCAAGGCGACGAUCCAUAGCUG
rnacentral:rRNA from 1 species